CGUAAAAAACGAAAUAUGUUAUUUUGUGUGCACAAAAAGCAAUGAUGUCAUAAUAGAAACUCCAUUGUUCCCAUAGGAAUUCCCUUUCAACAACACGCUAUACGGCCAUGACGGACUCUGAAUCUUCUUUGAAAUUCUCAUCUUCAAAUGAUCUUCUUGACAAAGAAAGUGAUCAGAAAGAUACAUAUUAUUCAUGGGUUGUUUGUGCAUGUGGAUUCGUGGCCAGAGUCAUUAUCGUUGGUGUUUUGCAUGGAUUCGGAGCUUUCUUUAUUGCAUUUAUUGAAGAAUUCAAAAUAACAAAAGAAAAAUCAG
rnacentral:lncRNA from 1 species